AUUGAACGCUGGCAGCAGGCCUAACACAUGCAAGUCGAGCGGCAGCGGGAAAGUAGCUUGCUACUUUUGCCGGCGAGCGGCGGACGGGUGAGUAAUGCCUGGGAAAUUGCCCAGUCGCGGGGGAUAACAGUUGGAAACGACUGCUAAUACCGCAUACGCCCUACGGGGGAAAGCAGGGGACCUGCAGGCCUUGCGCGAUUGGAUAUGCCCGGGGGGGAUUAGCUAGUUGGUGAGGUAAUGGCUCACCAAGGCGACGAUCCCUAGCUGUUCUGAGAGGAGGAUCAGCCACACUGGAACUGAGACACGAUCCAGACUCCUACGGGAGGCAGCAGUGGGGAAUAUUGCACAAUGGGGGAAACCCUGAUGCAGCCAUGCCGCGUGUGUGAAGAAGGCCUUCGGGUUGUAAAGCACUUUCAGCGAGGAGGAAAGGUUGAUGCCUAAUACGUAUCAACUGUGACGUUACUCGCAGAAGAAGCACCGGCUAACUCCGUGCCAGCAGCCGCGGUAA
rnacentral:rRNA from 1 species